UUGAACGCUGGCGGCAUGCCUUACACAUGCAAGUCGAACGGCAGCACGGGGGCAACCCUGGUGGCGAGUGGCGAACGGGUGAGUAAUAUAUCGGAACGUACCCUAGAGUGGGGGAUAACGUAGCGAAAGUUACGCUAAUACCGCAUACGAUCUACGGAUGAAAGUGGGGGACCUUCGGGCCUCAUGCUUUUGGAGCGGCCGAUAUCUGAUUAGCUAGUUGGUAGGGUAAAGGCCUACCAAGGCAACGAUCAGUAGCUGGUCUGAGAGGACGACCAGCCACACUGGAACUGAGACACGGUCCAGACUCCUACGGGAGGCAGCAGUGGGGAAUUUUGGACAAUGGGCGCAAGCCUGAUCCAGCAAUGCCGCGUGAGUGAAGAAGGCCUUCGGGUUGUAAAGCUCUUUUGUCAGGGAAGAAACGGCUGCGGCUAAUAUCUGCGGCUAAUGACGGUACCUGAAGAAUAAGCACCGGCUAACUACGU
rnacentral:rRNA from 1 species